UACGUAGGGUGCAAGCGUUGUCCGGAAUUAUUGGGCGUAAAGAGCUCGUAGGCGGUCUGUCGCGUCUGCUGUGAAACCUAGGGCUUAACUCUGGGCGUGCAGUGGGUACGGGCAGGCUAGAGUGCGGUAGGGGAGACUGGAAUUCCUGGUGUAGCGGUGAAAUGCGCAGAUAUCAGGAGGAACACCGGUGGCGAAGGCGGGUCUCUGGCCGUAAACUGACGCUGAGGAGCGAAAGCAUGGGGAGCGAACAGGAUUAGAU
rnacentral:rRNA from 1 species